rnacentral:rRNA from 1 species
ACUUAGACGAGUUAAGUAGUUUGAUCAUGGCACAGAACACGCUGGCGGCGCGCCUAACACAUGCAAGUCGGACGCACUCAGCAAUGGGUGAGUGGCGGACGGGUGAGUAACACGUGGGAACCUGCCCUGGGGGUCUGGGAUAGCUGCGGGAAACUGCAGGUAACACCGGAUGUGCCCUUUGGGGGAAAGUUUACGCCCUGGGAUGGGCCCGCGUCGGAUUAGGUAGUUGGUGGGGUAGUGGCCUACCAAGCCUGCGAUCCGUAGCCGGUCUGAGAGGAUGAUCGGCCACACUGGGACUGAGACACGGCCCAGACUCCUACGGGAGGCAGCAGUGGGGAAUCUUGGACAAUGGGGGCAACCCUGAUCCAGCGACGCCGCGUGGGUGAUGAAGGCCUUCGGGUCGUAAAGCCCUUUUGCCGGGGAAGAUGAUGACGGUACCCGGAGAAGAAGCACCGGCUAACUCUGUGCCAGCCGCCGCGGUAAUAC